AGGUACAGUAAGCUAAGGUUAGUUUAUUAUUAAAGAAAGAAAAAUCUUUUUUUAUAAAUUUAGUGUAGCCUAAGUGUACAGUUUAUAACGUCUGUGGCAGUGUCCAGGAACAUCCGAGGCCUUUGCUCACUCAUCACCCACUCACUCACCCAGAGCAGCUUCCAGACCUGCAAGCUCCAUUCACGGUAAGCGCCCCAUACAGAUGUGCCAUUUUUUAUCUUUUAUACCAUAUUUUUACUGUGCUAUUUCUGUUUUGAUAUGUCUAAAUAUACAAAUACUGUUGUGUCACAGUUGCCUCCAGUACUCAGGACAGUGACAUGCUGCACAGCUUUGCAGCCGAGGAGCACCAGGCUAACCACAGAGCCUCGGUGUGCAGCCGGCUACCAGCUAGGUUCGUAAGUACACUCUACGAAGUUCACACAACAAGGAAAUCGCCUGAUGACGCAGCUUUCUGAGAAUAUAUCCCCAUUGUUGAGCACAGGUGACUGAAUUUCUUAUCAUAACUCAUAAUAUCACAGAUUCUAAUCUUCGAGCUCAGCCACCAGAACACCCACUGUCUAGAGGAUGACACUGACUUGUCACGGGGCUAGGGAGUGGCAGAGUCAGGAUCAGAAUCAGGAUCUUACCGGGCAGUCGCUCAAGUCAGGGCUCGUGGCCAGUUGCUACUCUGCCCUCCACUAGUCCACAAGGACGUGACUGGUCAUCUCUGUAGACACAGGGACCAGCAAAGGGCCAGACACUUAACCCUAGUCUUUGCUGAGCCAAAGAAUGAAAAUGAGUACCCACAAACCUCCAGUAUAUAGACUGUUUUUAUAACUGCAUGAGAUAUGAGUGAAACCAAUAGAAAAUUAUCAACAUGUCCUCAGGAGUCACAAUAAAAUGAAUGGCAACAAGUGCUUGAAUCAGCGUGACCAACUACAACCUUUGUAUCGUGAUAACUGGAGAUCCAACUAAAAAUGUGAGAACUUAGUACAAGUCUGGUGCGGACACGUUUUCGUCCCUGUUGGGUAAGUACCUAGGAGUGGGAGUACUGGGUUGAAGGGUAAGUGUAUGGCAACUUUAGAAGAAACCACCAAAAUGCUUCCAAAUUGGUUGUACCAUUUUGCCCACUUGUCUGCAACGGAUGAGAAUUUCAGCAGCUCUGCAACCUUGGUGCUUGCCGACGUCAGCCUUCUUUGGCCACUCGAGUGGACGGACAAUGGUGUGGCCGUGUCUCACUGUGGCUUUGUGUUUCCCUCAUGAAGAUGAUGGUCGAGCAUCCUUCUUGUACUUAUUUGCCAUCUGUGUAUCUCCUUCUGGGAAGCUUCUGUUGUUUGCAGUUUUAUUACACGGUUGAAUGAGUUCUUUACCUGUUCUGGAUAGAAGUCCUUUAUCAGAUAUGUGUUUUCAUAACCUCUCAGUCUGGGGCUUGCCUUUCAUUUUCUUAAUGGAGUCUCCCAGAAAAUUAAUUUUCUUCAGGUUUGAGGUGCAAUUUACACAGCAUUCACCCUCUUUAGGUGUAGAGGUCUCUGAAUUCUACCACCCAAUCAAGAUAUGGAAUAUCGCCAUCUCUGUCCCCACAUUCCCCCACGCUCUCUUCUCCUCUGGCAGGUCUGGUUCUGCAGCUCUUUAGCAAGCUCUGGGUGCUUUUAUGUUGCGAAUUCUCUUUACCGUGUGGGAUGCGAAACGCAUCUGGGUCAUCUUUGCACCGUGACUCAUAAAUUCCAGGGUAACAGGAAAAGGCCCAUUAAACAUCCCGUUACACACAGCUCUAAUAAAACCGGUAAUAAUAACACCAAAACGCUCAUCUAGCGCUUGCCAGGGACCACUCUCAUUCUCCACUUACGCUAACUCAUGUGACCUCACGUGCAGCCCGCCCCGGGAGGCACGAUCACGAUCACUGCCCGCCUUCCGGCUGUGGCACUGAGGCCCAGGAAGAGGUGGACCGCCUCCGCCCUCGGGGCCGCCUGCCGCGGAGGACAGGCCGGGGAGACGCGGCCCGCAGAGCCGUGCGCUCGGCCGCCACUCAAGACGAACAGGGUCCGCCCGUGGCCGGGAGGGAGGCGCGGGCCCACGGCCCGGCGCCCGGCGCCCGCUCACCCCCGGCCGGUCCGGGGCACCCAGCGUGGGCGCUCGGGAGGCCGGCGCGCAGGCCGGCAGAGGGAGCUGAGCCCACGCGCCCCGCCCGGGCCGCGCCUCGCCCGCAACCCGCGCCGCCGCCCCAGGGACCGAGGCGCGUGCCAGGGCGGGCUGCGCAUGCGCGUGCGCACGGCGGGGCGCGGCGCGGCGUGUGCACGCGAGCCGGGGGCGGGCGGCGGCCGGGGGCGCAUGCGCACCGGGGCGCCGAGGCUGGAGGCGUGCCCGGCUCAGGAGAGCGGUGCUUUCGGUCCAGUCUGCUUCUCGCUGGCGGGCGCCGUAAGCAUCAGCGUCCCCGCAAGUUCCCACUUCGGCUGCGGGAAGCAGGAGUGUGUGCAGGGAACGGAACGCUCGGCUCCGCGGCGUGGAGUAGCAGAUAGAAGGAGCUCGGUCCGCAGGAGCGCGGUGGCGGCGGUGCGGAACUGCCGGCGCCGGCCCCGGAGCCCCCCGUGGUUUCUUAGGCCCGCCGUCGCCGGCUGUGCGGGGUUUUGUUUAACUGUUGGUGAAUAAGACUUCUAGUCCGAUGGUCCGGGUCCCAGCCCUGCCCACCCCUGGCUUUGAGCCAGGCACGUCUUAUUCCUGAGCUCUUUAUUCCCAUUGUUACAGCGGGCAGGGUGCGCCGCUGUUCAACACUGCACUUGUUAAAUCGAAGGAAACAGCCUGGCCGGUGGCUGACUCACGCGCGCGCUUGCAGCGGGUGCCACGGCCUGGGCCUGGCCUGGCUCACCUGCGGGGGGCCCAGUGAGGGACCAGACCUUGCAGUGAAAGGGGUAGCGUUGAAAGUGCGGUAGAGGACAGAGUGGAGGCCAGGCGUGAGUUCUGCGUGGCAGGAGGGGGAGUCCGCGCAGGUUCCACCCAGGAGAUGACCUCUAAACUGGGCCUUGAAGAUGAGGUGGCAGUGGGCCGCUCCUGGCAAAAGGGAUGCCUGAAAGCCUGCACGGGCCAUCGAUGUGUCUGGAGAGUUCUGAGAAUGGCUGCCAGACCAGUGUUGGGCGUGUGGGUAGACAGUAGGUGGGCUUGGAGGGGGACAGGGGGAAAGAGUGUGGAGGGCCCCCAGUGCCCCUGCAAGUGGUGAAAAGCUGCAGAGGGUCCUCAGGCAUGGAACUAACAACAGAUGUGUGUUUCAGUAAAGCGACUCUGGCAGGAACCAGAUAGGAAUUGUAUUUGUACAAAGGGGAUGUUGGAGGAAGGAAGUUAAUUUCAGCCCGGGGAGUGCAGUGGGGAUGGAGAUGGAAGCAGGAUUUAAGCAGGAUUUCAGAGAGAUUUUGGAGAUAGUCAACAGGCGUCACUGGCUACCCAUCACAGCUGAAUCUAAGAUGACUCCUACUUCUGGAGAACCAGGGGGACUGAGUCAUUAAGACAUUUGAGUUUCUGUGAAGUGCAGACCUUGUGCCAGGUGCUCAGCAUCCGAGAUAAAAAAGACCUAGUCUCUGCCCUUAAGGCGUUUGUCGUUGAAUCCAGGAGGUGGAUGCGUAACUAGGUGAUUAUAUCUCUGUACACGUGGUGACGAGCAUCACGUGUCCCUGCCUGAGCCUGAGGUGGGGUUGGGGCAGGGAGGGCUUCCCGAAGGAGGGAGGCCUGAGCGUCAGGGAAACUGGAAUUGCCAGGCAAUAUGAGCAUCUGAGGCACAGAAAGUGUGUGAGCAGGAAGGCCAGGCCGUUUGUGAUGUGUUUGGAGAGUUAGAAGCAGACACUGGAGUGGAGAGGAUCUCAUUGAGCCAGAGAGGAGCUGGCUCUCGGAGUUUAACGGUGUGGAUGCAAACUACUAGGGGUCUCAUGGGAGGAACCCAGGCCCAUGGGGCUUUGCCAGGAGCCUGCCUUCUCUCAACAUCCACACCCUCAUGAGCUCGGUGUGACCAUCCCGUUUUUACUGAUGGUGGGAUUGAGUGAGGCGGAGCGAGGUUAGAGCGACUCGCAGCCCUGGGAAGGCCGAAGCCCCCUGACCGAGUGUGUCGCUUGCUGGUCCUGGCCUUGGAGACUCAGGCGUGCUGGUGCGGAGACGGAGCAUGGGGGCGACUGGGGGAGUCUCGGGUGCUGCUUGGAGCGGGGAGCUGACGGGCAGGGAAGGCUGGGCGGUUGGUUCAGCACGGGCCACCGCGGAGGGACGCUCAGGCCAACGUGGGCCUCUCAGCAGGGUUCCAUGCGGUGGCCUGCUCAGUGCAUCCGGCCCGGAGAGUUGGCUGGAAGCAGCGUGUGAUCUGGUUUGGUAAGUGGAUAAGGCGUGGGCACUGAUAAAGCUCUUAAGUUUAUUAGUGGGCUUUUUUAAAAAAGCUUUCCUGUGCUUUUAAAUAUUGACUCUGUUGCUUCAACCUGUUUUCCUUUGGACACGUAUGUGCCUUUGGCAUAUGAGAGUCCCCUGAGGGUGCCGGUGAAGAUGUGUGCCACGAGCCCACACUGCCUCCACAGUGGUGGCUGCCAAAACGAACAGCUGUGAAAUGACUUGUGAGUUGGGAUAAACAUAUUUGUCCCUUUUUGUCAUACAAUCAGCAAGUGCUGGCAGUGCCUGCUUGUAACUGCGAUGGACCCUCCCUACUGUAUUUCUUUGGAAGUGGGCAUGGAAACCAUGGCAUCGUUUGUUUUCUUUGGGGUCCAGGUUCGGAGCCGGUCCCCAUUUUCGGGCAGGCCUUGGCUCCUCAGCCUCCGCAGGCUCGGGCCUUCCUGUUUUUGUCGUUCUCCGUUUGCUUCGUAGGCAUGCUUUGUGUAGGGGAGAAGAACGCCCGUAAAGGAAGCGUCCCAGAGGGUGACCAGGUGCACAGUUCAGCCAAGUGGGUGACUCGAUGGGACGUGUCUCUUUGUGUUUGUUCAGGUCGGGAAGGGUGUGACAGCGUGCUGGAAGAGAUUCGGCUCCCGGCCAAAUAACUUUACCACCUGAAGUCCCGGGCGGCUGUGUCGAGGGCCCCGCUGAGGCUGCCUGAGGACCCGAGCGCGUGGCCCACAGAGCCCCGCACGGUGCUCGCUGCGGACAGCGUGCUGCCCGGUCGUUGUGUGUGCGCCUCUGGGUACAUGCACAGUGUUCCCCCUGUAUGUGCAUUUAUGUGCGUAAAAGUAUAGCUACGUGCUGAAGUUUUUAUGAGUAAAAGGAGAAAAAAGGGGCCGGCCUGGUGGCGCAGCAGUGAAGUUCGCAUGUGCCACCUGGGUGCGGACAUGACACCGCUCGGCAAGCCAUGCUCUGGCAGGCGUCCCACAUAUAAAGUAGAGGAAGAUGGGCAUGGAUGUUAGGGCAUCUUCCUCAGCAAAAAGAGGAGGAUUGGCAGCAGAUGUUAGCUCAGGGCUAAUCUUCCUCAAAAAACAAAAAAGGAGAAGAAAAAGGGCAUGAGGGGGUGGGUAGAAAAGAUGGCAGCACGCUGGUGGUAAUUGAAGCUGGAUGAUGGCCACGUGGGAGUUCCGUCUACUCUUCUCUCUGCUUCUGUGUACAUUUGAAAAUUCUAAAAUAAAAAGGUCUAAAGAUAUGUAGAGUAUUUAAACAUUUGUUUAAGCCUUUGAUCCGCUCUCUACCCUCUGCGCCCAGCCUUGCCCAGACGCUGUGCUGGGCGUCUGGACGCUG
ensembl:lncRNA